AUUGAACGCUGGCGGCAGGCCUAACACAUGCAAGUCGAACGGUAACAGGAAGCAGCUUGCUGCUUCGCUGACGAGUGGCGGACGGGUGAGUAAUGUCUGGGAAACUGCCUGAUGGAGGGGGAUAACUACUGGAAACGGUAGCUAAUACCGCAUAACGUCGCAAGACCAAAGAGGGGGACCUUCGGGCCUCUUGCCAUCGGAUGUGCCCAGAUGGGAUCAGCUAGUAGGUGGGGUAACGGCUCACCUAGGCGACGAUCCCUAGCUGGUCUGAGAGGAUGACCAGCCACACUGGAACUGAGACACGGUCCAGACUCCUACGGGAGGCAGCAGUGGGGAAUAUUGCACAAUGGGCGCAAGCCUGAU
rnacentral:rRNA from 1 species